rnacentral:rRNA from 1 species
UACGUAGGGUGCGAGCGUUAAUCGGAAUUACUGGGCGUAAAGCGUGCGCAGGCGGUUCGCUGUGUCCGAUGUGAAAGCCCCGGGCUCAACCUGGGAAUGGCAUGGGAAACUGGCGGGCUGGAGUGUGGCAGAGGGGGGUGGAAUUCCGCGUGUAGCAGUGAAAUGCGUAGAGAUGCGGAGGAACACCGAUGGCGAAGGCAGCCCCCUGGGAUAACACUGACGCUCAUGCACGAAAGCGUGGGGAGCAAACAGG